rnacentral:misc_RNA from 1 species
GAUUCAGUGUAUGUAUGAGAGGAAAUUCUUGUUGCUAAUUUGGUGGAAGCACGAAGCCGGUGAGCCACGGCAGGCUGAUGGUGGAUGCAUUUUGGUGGUGCGGGAGGAAGAUGAUACAAAUCUAUAUGGUGGUGUACUUUAUGUGAUAUUGUUCUCUGAGAUGCUAGAUGUGGUAAUCUGCUAGCAGUGUGUGAUGCUUUGCUAAGCAACGGAAGUGUGAUGAGGGUGAUUAUGUGCUCUGUGA